GCAGUAAUUCAGUGGUAGAACACCUGAUUUGAAUGCAGAAGGUUACAGGUUCGAUCCUUGGCAACUCCA